CUGUUCGCCUAUUAAAGCGGUACGUGAGCUGGGUUCAGAACGUCGCGAGACAGUUCGGUCCCUAUCUGUUGUGGGCGCAGGAGAUUUGAGAGGACCUGUCCUUAGUACGAGAGGACCGGGAUGGACGAACCUCUUGUGUUCCAGCUGUCAUGCCAAUGGCAUAGCUGGGUAGCGAAGUUCGGUUGUGAUAACCGCUGAAUGCAUAUAAGCGGGAAGCACUCCUCAAGAUGAGAUCUCCCAACCCGUAAGGGAUAAGAAGGGCCCAGGAAGACUACCUGGUUGAUAGACGGGAAGUGAAAGCGCAGUAAUGUGUGAAGCUUACCCGCACUAAUCGCCCGUUCGGCUUGACCAUAAAA
rnacentral:rRNA from 1 species